rfam:Gossypium hirsutum cultivar TM-1 chromosome 4, whole genome shotgun sequence
AUCCCAUGGUGAGGGCACUUACGUAGUAACUCUUUGGAUCUUUUCCAUGUCUCGUAUAUGGAUUCAUCAUCCAUUUGUUGAAAAGUAGUGAUCUCAUUCUGCAAAU